UACGGAGGGUGCGAGCGUUGUCCGGAAUCACUGGGCGUAAAGGGCGCGUAGGCGGCGCGGAUAGUCGGCGGUGAAAGCCCGGAGCUCAACUCCGGGUCGGCCGUCGAUACUUCCGGGCUUGAGCACUGUAGAGGCAGAUGGAAUUCCGGGUGUAGCGGUGGAAUGCGUAGAGAUCCGGAAGAACACCGGUGGCGAAGGCGGUCUGCUGGGCAGUUGCUGACGCUGAUGCGCGGACAGCGUGGGGAGCAAACGAGG
rnacentral:rRNA from 1 species